AUACGUAGGGGGCGAGCGUUGUCCGGAAUUACUGGGCGUAAAGGGUGCGUAGGCGGCAUGUUAAGUUGGAUGUGAAAUACCCGGGCUCAACCUGGGGGGUGCAUUCAAAACUGGCAAGCUAGAGUGCAGGAGAGGGAAGCGGAAUUCCUAGUGUAGCGGUGAAAUGCGUAGAUAUUCGGAGGAACACCAGUGGCGAAGGCGGCUUACUGGUCCAUUACUGACGCUGAGGUGCGAAAGCGUGGGGAGC
rnacentral:rRNA from 1 species